UACGUAGGAUGCGAGCGUUAAUCGGAAUUACUGGGCGUAAAGCGUGCGUAGGUGGUUCGUUGUGUCUGUGGUGAAAGCCCCGGGCUUAACCUGGGAAUGGCCAUGGAAACUGGCGAGCUGGAGUCUGGCAGAGGGGGGUGGAAUUCCGCGUGUAGCAGUGAAAUGCGUAGAGAUGCGGAGGAACACCGAUGGCGAAGGCAGCCCCCUGGGCUAAGACUGACGCUGAGGCACGAAAGCGUGGGGAGCAAACAGG
rnacentral:rRNA from 1 species